rnacentral:rRNA from 1 species
AGUGAACGCUGGCGGUAGGCCUAACACAUGCAAGUCGAACGGCAGCACAGAGGAGCUUGCUCCUUGGGUGGCGAGUGGCGGACGGGUGAGGAAUACAUCGGAAUCUACUCUGUCGUGGGGGAUAACGUAGGGAAACUUACGCUAAUACCGCAUACGACCUACGGGUGAAAGCAGGGGAUCUUCGGACCUUGCGCGAUUGAAUGAGCCGAUGUCGGAUUAGCUAGUUGGCGGGGUAAAGGCCCACCAAGGCGAGGAUCCGUAGCUGGUCUGAGAGGAUGAUCAGCCACACUGGAACUGAGACACGGGCCAGACUCCUACGGGAGGCAGCAGUGGGGAAUAUUGGACAAUGGGCGCAAGCCUGAUCCAGCCAUACCGCGUGGGUGAAGAAGGCCUUCGGGUUGUAAAGCCCUUUUGUUGGGAAAGAAAUCCAUCUGGUUAAUACCCGGGUGGGAUGACGGUACCCAAAGAAUAAGCACCGGCUAACUUCGUGCCAGCCGCCGCGGUAA